rnacentral:snRNA from 1 species
CCAAAAUGAUAAUCACUAAUCG